rnacentral:rRNA from 1 species
CCUACGGGUGACAGCAGUGGGGAAUAUUGGACAAUGGGCGAAACCCUGAUGCAGCAACGCCGCGUGAGGGAUGAAGGCUUUCGGGUUGUAAACCUCUUUUUUCAGGGACGAAGCAAAUGACGGUACCUGAGGAAUAAGCCACGGCUAACUACGCGCCAGCAGCCGCGGUACUACGUAGGUGGCAAGCGUUAUCCGGAUUUACUGGGUGUAAAGGGCGUGUAGGCGGGACUGCAAGUCAGAUGUGAAAUCCACGGGCUCAACCUGUGGCCUGCAUGUGAAACUGUAGUUCUUGAGUACUGGAGAGGCAGAUGGAAUUCCUAGUGUAGCGGUGAAAUGCGUAGAUAUUAGGAGGAACACCAGUGGCGAAGGCGGUCUGCUGGACUGCAACUGACGCUGAGGCGCGAAAGCGUGGGGAGCAAACAGGAUUAGAUACCCCAGUAGUC